UUACUACUCCCUUCGUUCGGAAUUACUUGUCUCAAAAAUGGAUGUAUUUAGAACUAAAAUACAUCUAAAUACAUCCAUUUUUACGACAAAUAAUUCCGAACGGAGGGAGUACACG
rnacentral:pre_miRNA from 1 species